AAUAAGCGGAGGAAAAGAAACUAACAAGGAUUCCCCUAGUAACGGCGAGUGAAGCGGGAAGAGCUCAAAUUUGAAAUCUGGUAGCCUUCGGUUGCCCGAGUUGUAAUCUAGAGAAGUGUUUUCCGCGUUGGCCCAUGUACAAGUCCCUUGGAACAGGGCGUCAUAGAGGGUGAGAAUCCCGUCCUUGACAUGGACCCCCAAUGCUUUGUGAUACACUUUCAACGAGUCGAGUUGUUUGGGAAUGCAGCUCAAAAUGGGUGGUGAAUUCCAUCUAAAGCUAAAUAUUGGCGAGAGACCGAUAGCGAACAAGUACCGUGAGGGAAAGAUGAAAAGCACUUUGGAAAGAGAGUUAAACAGUACGUGAAAUUGUUGAAAGGGAAACGAUUGAAGUCAGUCAUGCUCUUUGGAUUAAGCCGUUCUGCGGUGUAUUUCAUUGAGCGGGGUCAACAUCAGUUUUGAUCGCUGGAAAAGGGCAGGAGGAAGGUAGCACUCUCGGGUGAACUUAUAGCCUCUUGUCGUAUACAGUGAUUGGGACUGAGGAACGCAGCAUGCCUUUUGGCCGGGAUUCGUCCACGUACAUGCUUAGGAUGUUGACAUAAUGGCUUUAAACGACCCGUCUUGA
rnacentral:rRNA from 1 species